rnacentral:rRNA from 1 species
CACAAGCGGUGGAGCAUGUGGUUAAUUCGAAGCAACGCGAAGAACCUUACCAGGUCUUGACAUCCCCUGACAACCCUGGAGACAGGGCGUUCCUCCCUUGCGGGAGGACAGGGUGACAGGUGGUGCAUGGUUGUCGUCAGCUCGUGUCGUGAGAUGUUGGGUUUAAGUCCCGCAACGAGCGCAACCCUCGCCCCUAGUUGCCAGCAUUCAGUUGGGCACUCUAGGGGGACUGCCGGCUUAAAAGUCGGAGGAAGGUGGGGAUGACGUCAAAUCAUCAUGCCCCUUAUGACCUGGGCUACACACGUGCUACAAUGGGCGGUACAAAGGGCUGCGAACCCGCGAGGGGGAGCGAAUCCCAAAAAGCCGCUCUCAGUUCGGAUUGCAGGCUGCAACUCGCCUGCAUGAAGCCGGAAUCGCUAGUAAUCGCGGAUCAGCAUGCCGCGGUGUAAUACGUUCCCGGGCCUUGUACACACCGCCC